UCCGCUUUCCUUAACCUUGGCUAAUUUAGAGGGGGCUAGUUUGCAUUAGCUGACUCCUAGGUGAAUUUCUACUGAUAUUGUAUUAUUUUUGGCAGGAAAGCUCUGUGGAUGCAUCACAAUGGAGGAACAUCAAGCAGCAUGUGCUACCUUACGGUUCUUCAAGGCCGCUGACCCGCAAGCUUUCUUUGGAUGCGUCUUCAAGUGAUUCAAGAGUCAUAGAGGCAUCAACAAGCAUGUCAUCAGAGAGUACUUCUGUGGAAAUCAACAUCCCAAAGUUAGCCGAGGGUGUUGAAUAUGGGAGGCAGCCAAUGGUGGCAUCCUCCGCUUUGGUAGAACUAACAACUAGGCUAGAUUUCUUCAAAGAGCGGAGGUCGCAACUGAUGGAACAACUCCAUAGUCUUGAUUUAGGACAUGGUUCUGCUUCUCAGAGUUUUCCAUACAAGCCACCUUCCCCUUGGACCAGUCCAAGGUAGGAUAUGUCCAUUGUAUAUCCUCGGUAGAUAUUCUUCCGUCUUCAUCAUUUGUAGAAGCUGGUCGUGGUAAUGUAAAUUAAUUUUCCUUUUUCAUCUUCUCUAAUAUGGGUUUGUUAUUUUGUUGUUGCAUGAGGUAGCUAUUUUGCCAGUGCGAUGUUGUAGCCGCCUGUAUGUAAUGUGUCAACGGGGUGCAUCUAAACAAGUUUCCCAAAGAUGUGGUGGUAUAUAUGUUUUUGUGUGUGUUGCUCAUAGGAGAUGAACCGGUUUGCUUCUUGUAAUUUAUAUGGCCUACUCGUACCUAUUGCGGAAGGAAAGGGUACAGGAUAAAAUGAGAACUAUGGUAUAUAUGUUUUUUUGUGAUUUAUGUU